rnacentral:rRNA from 1 species
GCACUCCCGGGGCGUCUCUAUCUCAUUGCGAGAGGAGGCGCACCUAGAGCGUACACGCUGAUACCCGAAAGAUGGUGAACUAUGCCUGGCCAGGACGAAGCCAGGGGAAACCCUGGUGGAGGUCCGCAGCGAUUCUGACGUGCAAAUCGAUCGUCGGAGCUGGGUUUAGGGGCGAAAGACCAAUCGAACCAUCUAGUAGCUGGUUCCCUCUGAAGUUUCCCUCAGGAUAGCUUGCGCUCGGUUAAACGAGUCUCAUCCGGUAGAGCGAAUGAUUAGAGGCCUUGGGGUCGAAACGACCUCAACCUAUUCUCAAACUCCAAAUAGAUGAGAACCCCGGCUUUCUUGAACUCUGUUUAUGAAGCCGGGGGCUCGGAUCAGAGUGCCAAGUGGGCCAAUUUUGGUAAGCAGAACUGGCGCUGUGGGAUGAACCAAACGCGGAGUUAAGGCGCCUCAAUCGACGCUCAUGUGAAACCAUGAAAGGCGUUGGUUGCUUAAGACAGCAG